rnacentral:rRNA from 1 species
GAUGAACGCUAGCGGCAGGCCUAACACAUGCAAGUCGAGGGGUAUAUGGUGUUUACAUCAUAGAGACCGGCGCACGGGUGCGUAACGCGUAUGCAAUCUACCUUUUACCGGAGUAUAGCCCGGAGAAAUCCGGAUUAAUCCUCCAUAGUAUUUUAAAUUGGCAUCGAUUUUAAAUUAAAGCUUAUUGUGGUAAGAGAUGAGCAUGCGUCUUAUUAGCUUGUUGGUAUGGUAAGGGCAUACCAAGGCAACGAUAAGUAGGGGUCCUGAGAGGGAGAUCCCCCACACUGGUACUGAGACACGGACCAGACUCCUACGGGAGGCAGCAGUGAGGAAUAUUGGACAAUGGGCGAGAGCCUGAUCCAGCCAUGCCGCGUGCAGGAGACAGCCCUACGGGUUGUAAACUGCUUUUUUGCAGAGGAAGAAUAAGGGGUACGUGUACCCUGAUGACGGUACUCUGCGAAUAAGCAUCGGCUAACUCCGUG